GGUUGAGAUCAUACCAGCACUAAUGCACCGGAUCCCUUCAAAACUCCGCAGUUAAGCGUGCUUGGGCGAGAGUAGUACUAGGAUGGGUGACCCCCUGGGAAGUCCUCGUGUUGCAACCC
rnacentral:rRNA from 1 species